rnacentral:tRNA from 5 species
GGCGCCGUGGCCAAGUGGUAAGGCGGCAGACUGCAAAUCUGCUAUUCGUCGGUUCGAUUCCGACCGGCGCCU